GGGUGAGUAGCUCAGUUGGCUAGAGCAUCCGGUUUACAUCCGGAAGGUCACAGGUUCGAGUCCUGUCUCACCCACAA
rnacentral:tRNA from 1 species